CCUGCGGCGGGAACGGCGCCAGCGGCACACUGGUGCGACACCUGGAGCUUUCCUGAUGUGUGUGCGCGCGCGCGUGUGUGUGUGGGUUCGCACACGUGGACGGAACUUUGCCGCGUGCCAUCAUCUCGAGUCAGUCCCUGCGAGAGCCUGAAUGGGUCACAAUCGAGUCUGCAGAACGCCGCGUCGACUCAAUCCAGCGGGAUGCCCGAAUGGUCUACGCCACUUGACCAAAGAGCAGCUGUAGCAGCAAAUUCGCCACUUACUUGACUGCGUACCACCAUCUGCCAGGAGCCGCUUUACUCACCAACAGCAACAAAGGGUGGUGAUGGCGUAUGCAAUGUCACCGGCCCCGGUUGGGUGGCGGGAGAUGUGAAUUGCGAUGAAGGGCCUACAAUCUUUGUGGGUAUGGCCGGCACCAAAGGGUUAUGGACAGCGGGCUGAGAAAACACUGAAUUUAUGGGCACUGAGUAAUCAUAGCCAGUAAAAC